CCUACGGGAGGCAGCAGUGGGGAAUUUUGGACAAUGGGCGAAAGCCUGAUCCAGCAAUGCCGCGUGCAGGAAGAAGGCCUUCGGGUUGUAAACUGCUUUUGUACGGAACGAAACGGUUCGCUUUAAUACAGUGGGCUAAUGACGGUACCGUAAGAAUAAGCACCGGCUAACUACGUGCCAGCAGCCGCGGUAAUACGUAGGGUGCGAGCGUUAAUCGGAAUUACUGGGCGUAAGGCGUGCGCAGGCGGUUAUAUAAGACAGUUGUGAAAUCCCCGGGCUCAACCUGGGAAUUGCAUCUGUGACUGUAUAGCUAGAGUACGGUAGAGGGGGAUGGAAUUCCGCGUGUAGCAGUGAAAUGCGUAGAUAUGCGGAGGAACACCGAUGGCGAAGGCAAUCCCCUGGACCUGUACUGACGCUCAUGCACGAAAGCGUGGGGAGCAAACAGGAUUAGAUACCCUGGUAGUCCACGCCCUAAACGAUGUCAACUGGUUGUUGGGUGNAUAGUACUCAGUAACGAAGACUACGCGUGAGUAGACGCCGNGGGAGGACGGCCGGCGAGGUAGUUAACGUUACGUAAAGAAGUUAGUACGGCGNGAGACGNGCGACGGACGACGACGAGGGAGGAGG
rnacentral:rRNA from 1 species